rnacentral:rRNA from 1 species
AGAGUUUGAUCCUGGCUCAGGNUGAACGCUGGCGGUAUGCUUAACACAUGCAAGUCGUACGAGAGUUUUUAACUCUAGUGGCGGACGGGUGAGUAACACGUGAGAAUCUACCCUAAGGAGGGGAAUAACAGCUGGAAACGGUUGCUAAUACCCCAUAUGCCGAAAGGUAAAAGGAUUUAUCCACCUUAGGAAGAGCUCGCGUCUGAUUAGCUAGUUGGUGAGGUAAAGGCUCACCAAGGCCAUGAUCAGUAGCUGGUUUGAGAGGACGAUCAGCCACACUGGGACUGAGACACGGCCCAGACUCCUACGGGAGGCAGCAGUGGGGAAUUUUCCGCAAUGGGCGAAAGCCUGACGGAGCAAUACCGCGUGAGGGAUGAAAGCCUGUGGGUUGUAAACCUCUUUUCUCAAGGAAGAAGUUCUGACGGUACUUGAGGAAUAAGCAUCGGCUAACUCUGUGCCAGCAGCCGCGGUAAUACAGAGGAUGCAAGCGUUAUCCGGAAUCACUGGGCAUAAAGCGUCUGUAGGUGGUUUGAUAAGUCUGCUGUUAAAGACUAGGGCUUAACCCUAGGAAAGCAGUGGAAACUGUCAGACUUGAGUAUGGUAGAGGUAC